rnacentral:rRNA from 1 species
AUUGAACGCUGGCGGCAGGCCUAACACAUGCAAGUCGAGCGGAGCGGCGGACGGGUGAGUAAUGCCUAGGAAUCUGCCUGGCAGUGGGGGAUAACGUCCGGAAACGGGCGCUAAUACCGCAUACCAUUAGCUUAGCCUAGGUCGGAUUAGCUAGUGGGUGGGGUAAAGGCCUACCAAGGCGACGAUCCGUAACUGGUCUGAGAGGAUGAUCAGCCACACUGGAACUGAGACACGGUCCAGACUCCUACGGGAGGCAGCAGUGGGGAAUAUUGGACAAUGGGCGAAAGCCUGAUCCAGCCAUGCCGCGUGUGUGAAGAAGGUCUUCGGAUUGUAAAGCACUUUAAGUAGGGAGGCGUUACCAACAGAAUAAGCACCGGCUAACUUCGUGCCAGCAGCCGCGGUAAUAC